GAAGGAAACGACUCUAUAGAGUUUGGUUGACAUAGCUAUAGUAGUUUCCGAGAUAUAUACAAAAAACUUAGUAGGGGGCGGGGCCACGCCCAGUUUUCCAAAAAAAUUACGUCCAAAUAUGCCCCUCCCUAAUGCGAUCCUUUGUGCCAAAUUUCACUUUAAUAUCUUUAUUUAUGGCUUAGUUAUGACACUUUAUAAGUUUUCGGUUUCCGCCAUUUUGUGGGCGUGGCAGUGGGCCGAUUUUGCCCAUCUUCGAACUUAACCUUCUUAUGGAGCCAAGAAAUACGUGUACCAAGUUUCAUCACGAUAUCUCAAUU